CACAAGUUAGCGAGCUGAGGGGGCGGUGGGGGGGUCACUCGAGGAGGCGUGUAGUGGGGGAGUGAAAAAAGGGGUGAAUGGAGAAGUGGAGGGGAGAGGACGGGGAGGAAAGCGCAGGAGCGGGUUAAAUGCAGGAGGGGGGGAAAUCACAGCUAAAAAAAAGGGGGGCGAUGUGGCUGAUUUGGGGGCGAGUCUGCAGCCUGGAGGAAUGGGGGACACAGUGUCUGGCUGUGGGAUCCUAGGGCUGCCCCCCUCUUAGCAAAGCCCAGCUGGAAACGGCAUGGUCCCGGGUGCUGCAAAAAGCUUCUCCUGCUUCCUUCCUUGUUCAGUCUCUCUUGCUCUUUUCCCUUCCCUCCUUCCAGCCACCGCGUCUUCCCUCAAGUGCUCGGGAGUUCCUUCGUUUCUGUCUGUCCUUUUGUCUUUCCUCGUCUCCUUUUGGAUUUUUAAAGGUUGCCCGGGAGAGGUAAAGCCGCUGCUGAUUUCAGCUUCCUGGGUUGCUGCUAUUUGCAGGAGAAGCAGCGGCGAGAAGAGGAGGGACUCUCUGGCUACGGCGAUCGUUAUGCUGAUGAGAGUCAGCAGCACGUGGUGUCUCAACCCAGUCCUCAUACUUCUGCAGCCUUCAAAAUAAAUAAAGCAAUGUGCAUCCCCCACAGAAGAAGGAGCUUGCUUUCAGGCGAUCUCCCCCACCCGGGGACAGGACUAGAGGGAAUGACAGGACUGUCUCCGAUCUGUACUUCUCUCCGGGUUUUUCCAUUAACACAUUUUUUUUGUUUGUUUUGAAAAAAGCCUGGACUAUCUGGUUUGCCAACUAAUAAUACUUAAUAAUUUGGUGCCAAAGGGUUUUUUUUUUUUUUGAUUGCUAAGACCCUGUCAGUCUAAAGCCUAAAACAUUUCCUUGAAUAAAUGAAAGCUAGAAAACCCGCCCUUCAGACUAUUAAGGUAAAGAGAGUCUGGUUUGUUUUCGCCCUUAAAAAAAAAAAAAGGCAGAUCUUAUUAAAAACAAUUUACAUACCCAAUAGUAAAAAAGUGUCAACGCCUCCCAGAGCAGAUAACAACCUAUCAAAACUCUCCCUCGAACUUACUUCGAGGUGCCACUUCCACCUUCUUGUACAAAGUAAGCGCUGGGGGGGGGGGGUAGCUGCGCGAAGUGCCGGUGUGGUUUAGGGUGAUGGGAGGGGGGCUCCGCUAAUGGUGCCUUUAUGCAGCUUUUUCGCACACAAUUCUGGGAGCAUUUUCAGCACCAUAAAACAAGUCUUUGGCCUUCCCCCGACGCUUCCCCCCUUCCCCACGAAAAAACCUGCGUGUACCCAGGUAAAUGAUCCGAAAGCACACGUCUCAGGGACCCAGACCACAACACUCUCCUCUCUGCGCUCUAUUCCAGCUGUAGGUUCUGCUGCCGGCUUGUUUUCACAAUAGGGUCUGUGUCAACUUUCGAAACCAACCCGCAGUGCUACACAUAGCGCAUACAUAAAAUGAUCCUCUCUGACGAUUAACACAGGAUUGAGUUAUUCCCCACUACAACCACCGUCGCCUGUUAUCUGACAAACAUUAAAAAGGAAGGUGAAACUUCCGGAGCUUUGGUCUUUAUUUAUUUACUUACUUGCAAUUAAAAUGUUCAAAAGGAUCUUUUUUUCGGUCACAUGGGAGAGCUCUCGCUCUGUAUACCGCUAAAUGUGGUUGGCAACUCUGUGCUCUUGUCUGCAAUAGCACACGUCCUUGAAGGAAGUGCAGCGGAUGACAUGUAUUUGUUUAUUAUUUUCAUUCUACCUCUUUUUUCCAGGGUUAAUAUGUUUGAUAGUAACCCCUGGUCACCUGGGACGAUCUUAGUUUUUUUUCUCUGUAUACUUGUCAAAUAGGGAGUGGUGGUGAUGGGGAGUUUACUAUUCCUACGUGGACAUAUAAGUAUGAUGAAUAAGUGCUCCCAGACUUACCAACAAAACGGGCAAGAUCCUGUCCAAAAGGAGAAGUGUGCACAGUGCCCCGAAAUGGGGAAUUUAACACAAUCUGCAAGGAGCUGAGUAAUUUACAGGUUUUCAGAGCUCAAAUAGAGUUGCAGUACAGUAAAAUAUUUUAAAAUAGUUAUUUUUGGUACUAUGUUUAUUAUUGUGCUUUUUAACACCUUCCCUUUAGAUGGGGGAUAACAUUUUCCAUUAGGUAGAGGGUACAGGUGUUGGGUAGAAAAGAAAAAGUUAACAGGAACCGUAUGUUUCCAAGUACAGAAUUAAUUUGACAGUAGUUAUUUCAGUGUUUUUUUAAAAUAAGAAGAUACAUUUCCUCUUUUAAUUAGUCACAUCAGAAUUUUUGCAGUUGCCUCCCUCCAUACUAAAAUUUAAAAAGUUAGUUAGGAUAAAUCAAAAGAAGUUAUAGGAAGUACCCAGUGUAAGGUCACUUAAAAUAGUCUAUAGUUAUUUAUAAUUUUUCCACUGACCACCCUAACAAAGUUUCAGGUACCUGGCACAGCUGAUUUUUAGUCUCCUUGCAAAAAUGUCUUUUUGCUUAACUUUUACACAUUUAACUGGAACUUGCUAAAGCCUGGAACAGAUCACAACUCAGAGCACUAGAAUUUUAUUGAAAUUGUUAUGGACACCUUAAUAAAACUACCCAUAAUGUUUAUGGACCAGCAUAAAGGCUGUCUGGGAUUCUUUUUAUAUGUCCUUUAUGCUAUGUUCUGAAUUAUAUGAAACUUUGGCUUGGAUUUGGCUGAAAGACACUUGGGCAGUGGUUCUCAAACUUUUGUACUGGUGACCCCUUUCACACAGCAAGUCUCUGAGUGCAACCCUCCCCCUUAGAAAUUAAAAACACAUUUUUUAAUAUUUAACUCUAUUAUAAAUGCUGGACGUGAAACAGGGCUUGGGGGUAGAGGCUGACAGCUCGCAACCCCCCAUGUAAUAACCUCAUGACCCCCUGAGGAGUCACGACACCCAGUUUGAGAACCCUUGCACUUGGGGCAACCCUACCCUCCAGCUUUCUUCCGCUUUCACUUCAGAAGGGCUCAUAAUUUUAGCAUAGGUUGAAAAGUGGAUCACAUUUUAAGAGGUUAGAGAGCCAUAGGAGUUUAGAGAAAAAAUGGUUUUUUAAAAGAUUAUGUAUUAAAAAAAACCCCAGACCCACUUUAUAAAAUAAGAUUUUAAUGAGUGCAUCUGUGAUUCCUGCAAAAGCAACUUUGAUGGUCUUUUAGCUUUUUUACUUUUAACAGUGUUACAAAUACAGCUGUACUAUAUGGAAGCAUUUUGCUAGAAAAACAUAUAUUUUAACUGUCUUAGUAUCUAUUUAAUUUUAAAUUGGUAAAAUUUGGACCCAGUAAUCUCUGGACCUAUCAAUAAUCUCCUGGUAUAAACAUUAUCUGAUUAAGGUAGAAAAUAGUUGAUAAAUGUUGAAUGUUUCUGUAGUGAAUAAUGUUUCAUAAAAAUAUUUGUUUUGAUGCUAGAUGGCUUGACUGGAAUGUGCUGUAAUCAUGAUACAUAUUGAACCUCUUAUAACAUUCUCUAUAUGAGUGCAUAGCCUUGAUGGAAAAUAGAAUAAAUUAAUGUGUUUAACAGGUUUAUUAUUGUAUCAGAUAUUUUGUGAGUCAUUAUAGCAAUGUCAGCAAUUACUGCUAUAGUUAAGUACUUGCCAGUAUUUUCUUUCCAAAUUCCACCUUCCAGGAGUUUCUAACUCACUCAUGAAAAUACAAAUCAGGCUGAAAUGUGGUGUGACAUUAGGGUAGUCCUGAUUCCACUGAUGUCAAUGCCCAAACUUCUACAGACUUCAGUGGGAGCAUGAUGAGUCCCAAUGUCUCAUGGCAACACUUUGCUUUCAUUGUGGUUACAAAUUGACUACUUAUCCAGCUAUUCUUUUCACUUAAAAGUAUGUCAGGUAGAGUGACUCAGAACUUAUAGACUUCUGUUUGAUAGAUUUGGUUGAUUCAUUGUUUACUGUGCUAAGGAGCACAGAUUUCAGAAGUACAAACACAGUAUUACAAGAGUACAUAGACUCCUUCAGUCUCUUUAUUUUAGCUAUCAUGUCCCUGACCCAUUGAUUUAUGACUGAAAUACAAGAAAAUUCUAUGCUAUCCUGAAAUGUGCUGUAAGCAUUCUAUAUCUCAGCACCGUACACUGUUUGUAUAGUGUUUACAAUUUCUGGCAGUACUGUAGACAGUCAAGUCUGAAAGACAGAAUAGAAAAUGACUACAUAAAACAAUAAUUGAUUGACAUCUAUAACAUUAUUGUUUCACACAUUAUUUUCUAUUGGUAGGAAGAGACGACUGUUAGUUGUGAUUCUUGGGUUCUAUGCAGGGAUUGCCAUGUACUCACUGUGUGAACUUAGUAACUGGCAAGUCACUUAACACCUCUGUGCUUCAGUUUACCCAUGCGUAGAAUGGGGAUAACAAUAGUUACCUCACUUGGGUGUUGUGAGAUUUAAAUAAUUAUUGUCAUGAUUAUCAUAAAGUCAUUUGAAAUCCAAAGAUGAAAGGGGCUAUGUUAGUGCAAAGUAUUAUUAAUAUGUUUUCUUUUUUGAUAAUAAUAAACCAGCUGUAUCAAUAAUGAAAAAUA